UUUCCGUAGGUGAACCUGCGGAAGGAUCAUUAAAGAGAAUAUGCCCUUCGGGGUAGAUCUCCCACCCUUUGUUUAUAUUACCUUUGUUGCUUUGGCAGGCCCGUCUUCGGACCACCGGCUUCGGCUGGUCAGUGCUUGCCAGAGGACCCAAAACUCUUAUUAUUAAUGUCGUCUGAGUACUAUAUAAUAGUUAAAACUUUUAACAACGGAUCUCUUGGUUCUG
rnacentral:misc_RNA from 1 species